rnacentral:rRNA from 1 species
GUAUGCAACGCUGGCGGCAGGUCUAACACAUGACAAGCUCGAGCGGUAACAUUUCUAGCUUGCUAGAAGAUGACGAGCGGCGGACGGGUGAGUAAUGCUUGGGAAUAUGCCUUAGGGUGGGGGACAACAGUUGGAAACGACUGCUAAUACCGCAUAACGUCUACGGACCAAAGGGGGCUUCGGCUCUCGCCCUUAGAUUAGCCCAAGUGGGAUUAGCUAGUUGGUGAGGUAAUGGCUCACCAAGGCGACGAUCCCUAGCUGGUUUGAGAGGAUGAUCAGCCACACUGGAACUGAGACACGGUCCAGACUCCUACGGGAGGCAGCAGUGGGGAAUAUUGCACAAUGGGCGCAAGCCUGAUGCAGCCAUGCCGCGUGUGUGAAGAAGGCCUUAGGGUUGUAAAGCACUUUCAGUAAGGAGGAAAGGUUAGUAGUUAAUACCUGCUAGCUGUGACGUUACUUACAGAAGAAGCACCGGCUAACUCCGUGCCAGCAGCCGCGGUAAUACGGAGGGUGCGAGCGUUAAUCGGAAUUACUGGGCGUAAAGCGUACGCAGGCGGUUUGUUAAGCGAGAUGUGAAAGCCCCGGGCUCAACCUGGGAACUGCAUUUCGAACUGGCAAACUAGAGUAUGAUAGAGGGUGGUAGAAUUUCAGGUGUAGCCGGUGAAAUGCGUAGAGAUCUGAAGGAAUACCGAUGGCGAAGGCAGCCACCUGGGUCAAUACUGACGCUCAUGUACGAAAGCGUGGGGGGCAAACGGGAUUAGAUACCCCGGUAGUCCCC